rnacentral:rRNA from 1 species
UACGUAGGGCGCAAGCGUUGUCCGGAAUUAUUGGGCGUAAAGAGCUCGUAGGCGGUUUGUCGCGUCUGUCGUGAAAGCCCACGGCUUAACUGUGGGUCUGCGGUGGAUACGGGCAGACUAGAGGCAGGUAGGGGAGAAUGGAAUUCCCGGUGUAGCGGUGAAAUGCGCAGAUAUCGGGAGGAACACCUGUGGCGAAGGCGGCCCCCUGGUUGGAUACUGACGCUGAUACGCGAAAGCGUGGGGAGCAAACAGG